CAACACUCAAGCUCUGCUUGGUAUUGGACAGUACCGGUAACACGGUCGGUCUUAAAAUCAGUGGCGGCGCCACCUGGCUCUAAGCGUAGUAAAUACUCCUCGCUACAGAGUCCCGGUGGAUGCUUGCCAGCAACCCCCAACUUUCUAA
rnacentral:misc_RNA from 1 species